GUGGUAUCCUGUCUGAAUAUGGGGGGACCAUCCUCCAAGGCUAAAUACUCCUGACUGACCGAUAGUGAACCAGUACCGUGAGGGAAAGGCGAAAAGAACCCCGGCGAGGGGAGUGAAAAAGAACCUGAAACCGUGUACGUACAAGCAGUGGGAGCACGCUUAGGCGUGUGACUGCGUACCUUUUGUAUAAUGGGUCAGCGACUUAUAUUCUGUAGCAAGGUUAACCGAAUAGGGGAGCCGAAGGGAAACCGAGUCUUAACUGGGCGUUAAGUUGCAGGGUAUAGACCCGAAACCCGGUGAUCUAGCCAUGGGCAGGUUGAAGGUUGGGUAACACUAACUGGAGGACCGAACCGACUAAUGUUGAAAAAUUAGCGGAUGACUUGUGGCUGGGGGUGAAAGGCCAAUCAAACCGGGAGAUAGCUGGUUCUCCCCGAAAGCUAUUUAGGUAGCGCCUCGUGAAUUCAUCUCCGGGGGUAGAGCACUGUUUCGGCAAGGGGGUCAUCCCGACUUACCAACCCGAUGCAAACUGCGAAUACCGGAGAAUGUUAUCACGGGAGACACACGGCGGGUGCUAACGUCCGUCGUGAAGAGGGAAACAACCCAGACCGCCAGCUAAGGUCCCAAAGUCAUGGUUAAGUGGGAAACGAUGUGGGAAGGCCCAGACAGCCAGGAUGUUGGCUUAGAAGCAGCCAUCAUUUAAAGAAAGCGUAAUAGCUCACUGGUCGAGUCGGCCUGCGCGGAAGAUGUAACGGGGCUAAACCAUGCACCGAAGCUGCGGCAGCGACGCUUAUGCGUUGUUGGGUAGGGGAGCGUUCUGUAAGCCUGCGAAGGUGUGCUGUGAGGCAUGCUGGAGGUAUCAGAAGUGCGAAUGCUGACAUAAGUAACGAUAAAGCGGGUGAAAAGCCCGCUCGCCGGAAGACCAAGGGUUCCUGUCCAACGUUAAUCGGGGCAGGGUGAGUCGACCCCUAAGGCGAGGCCGAAAGGCGUAGUCGAUGGGAAACAGGUUAAUAUUCCUGUACUUGGUGUUACUGCGAAGGGGGGACGGAGAAGGCUAUGUUGGCCGGGCGACGGUUGUCCCGGUUUAAGCGUGUAGGCUGGUUUUCCAGGCAAAUCCGGAAAAUCAAGGCUGAGGCGUGAUGACGAGGCACUACGGUGCUGAAGCAACAAAUGCCCUGCUUCCAGGAAAAGCCUCUAAGCAUCAGGUAACAUCAAAUCGUACCCCAAACCGACACAGGUGGUCAGGUAGAGAAUACCAAGGCGCUUGAGAGAACUCGGGUGAAGGAACUAGGCAAAAUGGUGCCGUAACUUCGGGAGAAGGCACGCUGAUAUGUAGGUGAAGUCCCUCGCGGAUGGAGCUGAAAUCAGUCGAAGAUACCAGCUGGCUGCAACUGUUUAUUAAAAACACAGCACUGUGCAAACACGAAAGUGGACGUAUACGGUGUGACGCCUGCCCGGUGCCGGAAGGUUAAUUGAUGGGGUCAGCGCAAGCGAAGCUCUUGAUCGAAGCCCCGGUAAACGGCGGCCGUAACUAUAACGGUCCUAAGGUAGCGAAAUUCCUUGUCGGGUAAGUUCCGACCUGCACGAAUGGCGUAAUGAUGGCCAGGCUGUCUCCACCCGAGACUCAGUGAAAUUGAACUCGCUGUGAAGAUGCAGUGUACCCGCGGCAAGACGGAAAGACCCCGUGAACCUUUACUAUAGCUUGACACUGAACAUUGAGCCUUGAUGUGUAGGAUAGGUGGGAGGCUUUGAAGUGUGGACGCCAGUCUGCAUGGAGCCGACCUUGAAAUACCACCCUUUAAUGUUUGAUGUUCUAACGUUGACCCGUAAUCCGGGUUGCGGACAGUGUCUGGUGGGUAGUUUGACUGGGGCGGUCUCCUCCUAAAGAGUAACGGAGGAGCACGAAGGUUGGCUAAUCCUGGUCGGACAUCAGGAGGUUAGUGCAAUGGCAUAAGCCAGCUUGACUGCGAGCGUGACGGCGCGAGCAGGUGCGAAAGCAGGUCAUAGUGAUCCGGUGGUUCUGAAUGGAAGGGCCAUCGCUCAACGGAUAAAAGGUACUCCGGGGAUAACAGGCUGAUACCGCCCAAGAGUUCAUAUCGACGGCGGUGUUUGGCACCUCGAUGUCGGCUCAUCACAUCCUGGGGCUGAAGUAGGUCCCAAGGGUAUGGCUGUUCGCCAUUUAAAGUGGUACGCGAGCUGGGUUUAGAACGUCGUGAGACAGUUCGGUCCCUAUCUGCCGUGGGCGCUGGAGAACUGAGGGGGGCUGCUCCUAGUACGAGAGGACCGGAGUGGAC
rnacentral:rRNA from 1 species